AUCAAGGGUGCACUCUGCAUGAACAUCGAAAGAGAAUUGGGUUAAUAUUCCCAAACUGAGACAUGGUGGUGGACGCCAAUGUUAGGAAAUCUAGAGAUGUCAUCAGGGGCCUGGGAAGCGUUAUAUUUUCUUUUUAACGACUUUCCCACCCAGAAAUCGGUUCAACCGGAGAUAGGGUCCAACAUCUAGAAGAUCACCACACUUCUUACGGUGUUUGGUGCCCCCUUGGUGGCCAUUUAAAAUAUGUAGAACCGAGUACCAUCCAUCCCUGAUCAUACUCAUAUCUGCCUCC
rnacentral:ncRNA from 1 species